rnacentral:rRNA from 1 species
UACGUAGGGUGCAAGCGUUAAUCGGAAUUACUGGGCGUAAAGCGUGCGCAGGCGGUUUUGUAAGUCUGUCGUGAAAGCCCCGGGCUCAACCUGGGAAUUGCAUUGGAGACUGCAAGGCUAGAAUCUGGCAGAGGGAGGUAGAAUUCCACGUGUAGCAGUGAAAUGCGUAGAGAUGUGGAGGAACACCGAUGGCGAAGGCAGCCCCCUGGGUCAAGAUUGACGCUCAUGCACGAAAGCGUGGGGAGCAAACAGG